GCGAACCGGUACUCUGUAUUAAGUGUGUGUGUUCAAUAAAAACUUUGUUAUACUUACACUUGUGUUGUGUCAUGCCACCGCCAGUCGCCGCUUCUACCAUGAGCCCACUAAGCCAAAACAUUAGGAGACGUACAACAGUUAUUAAUUCUUCGUAGCCGAUUGGGAAAUGGCUCAAAUAAAACGUUGUUGAGAAAUGAAA